UUAGUCUAUCGCUAUCAGACUGGCAACGCUUGCGAAAAGUCGAGUUGGCAUUUGUACUCGAAAAAUUCCAUUUAAAUACAAAAUAACCAAACUGCAGAAAAUUAUUAAAUAAGUAACACACUGGCGUAAUUGAGGAAAAGUUUCGUUUUUCCCAGCUAACGCACUGCGACAACAUGUUGCACAACAAUGCCAGCUGGCUGCCACCGCCGCAACAACGGCAUCGUCUGCAGCAA
rnacentral:sRNA from 1 species